UACGUAGGGUGCAAGCGUUGUCCGGAAUUAUUGGGCGUAAAGAGCUCGUAGGCGGUUUGUCGCGUCGGCUGUGAAAACCUGAGGCUCAACCUCGGGCCUGCAGUCGAUACGGGCAAACUAGAGUUCGGUAGGGGAGACUGGAAUUCCUGGUGCAGCGGUGGAAUGCGCAGAUAUCAGGAGGAACACCAAUGGCGAAGGCAGGUCUCUGGGCCGAAACUGACGCUGAGGCGCGAAAGCCAGGGGAGCGAACGGG
rnacentral:rRNA from 1 species